rnacentral:rRNA from 1 species
UCAGGUGGUUAUUGCGGCGGUGUCCCACCUCUUCCCAUUCCGAACAGAGCAGUUAAGCCCGCCUGCGCCGAUGGUACUGCAAUGCAAUGCGGGAGAGUAGGUGGCCGCCUUUU